rnacentral:rRNA from 1 species
AGAGUUUGAUCAUGGCUCAGAACGAACGCUGGCGGCGUGCCUAACACAUGCAAGUCGAACGGAAUUGGAGAGCUUGCUUUUCAAUUUAGUGGCGCACGGGUGAGUAACGCGUAGAUAAUCUGCCUGAUGAUCUGGGAUAACACUUCGAAAGGGGUGCUAAUACCGGAUAAGCCCACGGGAACUUUGGUUCUUGCGGGAAAAGGUGGCCUCUAUUUAUAAGCUACUGUAUCAGGAUGGGUCCGCGUACCAUUAGCUAGUUGGUAGUGUAAUGGACUACCAAGGCUACGAUGGUUAGCUGGUCUGAGAGGAUGAUCAGCCACACUGGAACUGAGACACGGUCCAGACUCCUACGGGAGGCAGCAGUGGGGAAUUUUGCGCAAUGGGGGAAACCCUGACGCAGCAACGCCGCGUGAGUGAUGAAGGCUUUCGGGUCGUAAAGCUCUGUCAGAGGGGAAGAAGUGUAUGGGUGCUAAUACCAUCUAUACUUGACGGCACCCUCAAAGGAAGCACCGGCUAACUCCGUGCCARCAGCCGCGGUAAUAC